rnacentral:rRNA from 1 species
AAGGUAGCGAAAUUCCUUGUCGGGUAAGUUCCGACCUGCACGAAUGGCGUAACGAUGGCCACACUGUCUCCUCCUGAGACUCAGUGAAGUUGAAAUGGUUGUGAAGAUGCAAUCUACCCGCUGCUAGACGGAAAGACCCCGUGAACCUUUACUGUAGCUUUGUAUUGGACUUUGAGGUUGUAUGUGUAGGAUAGGUGGGAGACUAUGAAGAAAUAACGCAAGUUAUUUUGGAGUCGCUAGUGAAAUACCACUCUUACAAGUUUGAGGUUCUAACUUAGGUAGUUACACUAUCAAGGAAAGUGCAUGGUAGGCAGUUUGACUGGGGCGGUCUCCUCCUAAAGAGUAACGGAGGAGUUCGAAGGUUACCUAGGUCCGGACGGAAAUCGGACUGAUAGUAUAAUGGCAUAAGGUAGCUUAACUGCAAGACACACAGGUCGAGCAGGUGCGAAAGCAGGACAUAGUGAUCCGGUGGUUCUGAAUGGAAGGGCCAUCGCUCAACGGAUAAAAGGUACUCCGGGGAUAACAGGCUGAUUCCGCCCAAGAGUUCAUAUCGACGGCGGAGUUUGGCACCUCGAUGUCGGCUCAUCACAUCCUGGGGCUGCAGUAGGUCCCAAGGGUAUGGCUGUUCGCCAUUUAAAGUGGUACGUGAGCUGGGUUUAGAACGUCGUGAGACAGUUUGGUCCCUAUCUGCAGUGGGCGUAGGAAGUUUGACAGGGGCUGCUCCUAGUACGAGAGGACCGGAGUGGACAAACCUCUGGUGUACCGGUUGUCACGCCAGUGGCAUAGCCGGGUAGCUAAGUUUGGAUAAGAUAAGCGCUGAAAGCAUCUAAGCGUGAAGCUUGCCUGGAGAUAAGACUUCCCAAAGGACAUAAGUCCUUCUAAAGAGGCGUUAGAGACGAUGACGUUGAUAGGUCGGGUGUGAAAGUGCGGUAACGCAUGGAGCUAACCGAUACUAAUAUCUCGUGAGGCUUGACUCU